AUUUAGAAAACUGGUAACUGUUUCAGAACACAUAUUGUAACUAACUGAUUCACAGGAGCUUUUCCAGUGACUGAUCUUGCCAGGUCCUGCAUCAGCCUUUCUCUGAAACUGCAGGAGCAGUUCAUAUAGACUGUGCAUCCUAGAUCAGAUGUCUCAAACAAGAUGUUGGAAAUCUCAUCCAGGAGGCCUAAAGAAGUCCACCGGUUCAUACAGAGAUGGAAAAAAUGAUGCUUUUUCUCCUGACAUGGAAGUGUUACAGCUGACUCACAAAUGUUCCUGCUCCUCCAGGACUGUGGCUGCUCUGUCCCAUUCUGACUUGAAAAAGUUUUGGGAAUGACCCUUGCUUAUAUCUUUAAGUAACAUAAUAUGUUAACUUUAAAAUACUUGCCUUUGUGUCAUGUCCCCCCUACUUUUAUUUAGAUCUUUCCCUUUCUCACUCCCACAAUUUUUCUAUCAUGAAAGACUUUCAAACACUUUCUAGCAACUUUCAAAAUACCAGCCUUUAUUACAACUAUUUAUUCUGUUGAUAUUGCUUUUCUCUUAUUUGAUUUUUCCUUUUUGACCUCAUAGAAUCACAGCAUAUACUAAGUUGGAAGGAACCCAUUAGGAUCGUCAAGUCCAACUCUUGGCCCUGCACAGCGUACCCCAAG